rnacentral:rRNA from 1 species
AUGAAUUGCAUCAGUUGGAAUUAUCAUGGCUGUGGGAAUGCUGCGACGAUUCCUGAACUUUGUGUCUUGACAGAGACACACCAUCUCAAAGUUAUCUUUCUUUCUGAAACUCGUCAAAAGUGUGUUCGUAUGGGUCGUCUUAGGAGUCGAUUAGGCCUUUUUGGUUUUGCUGGAGUUGAUAGUGAUGGUUUAAGUGGUGGUUUAGCCUUGUUCUGGCAUGCUACUUUUGUGUAUGGAGAGCCACGUUCCGAAAACCGGCACCGCAUGUGGUCGUUGUUGUGUAAUCUCUGCGCAUCCUCAUCUCUCCCUUGGAUGGCAGUGGGAGACUUCAAUGAAGCUCUUUGGCAAUUUGAGCACUUCUCGCUUACACCCCGGGCAGAAUAUUUGAUGCCUGUUUUCAGGGACAUGAUGUUGGUGUGUGGGCUGAAGGACUUGGGAUUCAAAGGGCUGCCAUAUACUUAUGAUAAUGGAAGAGUUCGGAGUGCAAAUGUCAGAGUCCGUUUGGACCGAGCUCUAGCGGAUGAUAGUUGGCGUGAUAUUUUUUCUGAGGUGUCUGUGGUGCACUUGGUUUCCCCGGGGUCUGACCAUUGUCCAGUUUUGCUCUCACUAGAGCGUGAAGUGCGAACUCUAAACACCCGCAAGUGUAGGCAGUAUGAGAUUUGUUGGGAGAGAGAUGAAGCACUUCCGACAGUCAUCAAGGAGGCCUAG